rnacentral:lncRNA from 1 species
UUUUUUUACCUAUUUUGUUUCUAUUUCUCCUUUUCUAUCUUUUAUUUCUUUCAUUUAAUUAGUUUAAUAUAAUAACAAUAAAAUGGUAAUAUAAUAUUAUUUACUUAAAUGAUAAGUAAAUAUGUAAUAAAGCCUAAGAUCCAACUCCUUCUAGGUAAGGAGAUACUUGAGGCUCUUGUGAUAAGUGUAGAUAAUACACCUCUC